rnacentral:tRNA from 1 species
UCUGUAGCUCAGCAGGUAGAGCACCAGAUUGUGGCUCUGGAGGUCAUGGGUUCGAAUCCCAUCUUU